ACACGCAUGUGGGGAGCCAUGCCAGGCACACAGUGGAUGCAACAGGGGAGUUGCUCGUUCUGACCGUGUUCACCAUGUCUCUGAUGCGCAUCUUCUCACGUGAAAUCAGCAUGUGUCUUAAAAUGGACAGAGUAGAAGUUCAACUAGCAACAUUGUGUGCUUCCUACUGGCACAUACGUGAAUGGUGGAGGCUCACGCCUCUCAACCCAGCACUUUGGGAGGCCCAGGCUGGAGGAUCACUUGAGCCCAGGAGUUCAAGACCAGCCUGGGCAACAUGGUGAGACCCUGUCCCUAAAAAAAUUUAAAUUAGCCAGGAGUGGUGGUGUGCACCUGUAGUCCCAGCUACUCAGGAGGCUGAGGCGGGAGGAUCACUUGAGCAUGGAGAUUGAGGCUGCAGUGAGCUGUGAUCCAGCCUGGACAACAGAGCAAGACCCUGCCUCUAAAAAACCAAGUUAAUGGUGGGUGUGUUGUGGACGGCACCCAGGUUGGAAGGAAAGCAGUUAAGUAUUGCUACGAAGCUCAGCUGCACAGCAUGUCACAGAACCCAUCCAGGCUGGGGCUGGAGAGUGCUUUGUGAACCAGAAUUGGCAAUGAUGCUUGGGUGGGCUGGGCCCUGCACUUCCAUCUCCCACCGGGUUAGGUGCCCCAGAACAGGUCUGGGGUGCGCCAGGGGCUCUGAAUCCCCUCAUCCAAGGCUGCCAGGGGACCGGGCUUUCCUGCCAUCUCAGGGACUCUGAGGAGCCAUCGGACAGUCGGAGGGAGAAGAGAGCAAGUGAGGAAGUCACCUCUGGUAUAACUGACAUGAGACUUAGAUAGUUGGGGUCAAGGUGGAUGUAGGGGCACUUUAGCUGGGUGGUCAGUGAGGGCUUCCUGGAGGAGGUGGCAUUUGAGCUAGGACUUGCAUGAUGGGGUGAGCACUUGGGCAGAGGGAACAGCUAGUGCAAGGCCUCAGGUUGGGGAAACAAAAAGAGGCCAAAGUUCAGGGUCCACAGCUCCAGUAGACAGAGCAAAGAUUCAAACUCAGGCCACAGGUCCCCAGGGUCAGGGCACACCCCCUGCACCUCACCAAGUUAUCGACAGGAGGAUGGUGGGGAGGGGAGGCCAGCGUGACAGUGGGCAGGGGGCACUCUGGAGGCAGGGGCUGGGCUCGCUCUGCUGCCCAGGCUGGAGUGCAGUGGCAGCCUCAUGGCUCACUGCAGCCCCGACCUCCUGGGCUCAAGCACUCCUCCUGCCUUGGCCUCCUGAGUAGCUGGGACUGUACAGGCCUGUGCCACUGCACCUGGCUAAUUUUUUAUUUUUAUUUUGCUAGAGAUGGGGUCUCCCUCUGUUGCCCAGGCUGGUCUUAAACCCCUGGGCUCAAGUGUUCUUCCUGCCUCAACCUCCCAAAGUGCUGGGAUGACAGGCGUGAGCCACCGCAACCAGCUAAGACUAUAUUUUUUAGAACAGUUUUGGUUUCACUGCAAAAUUGAGCAGAAGGUAGAGGGAGUUCCGUGUGUCUCCCGCACACACAGCCCCCCGCCAUCAGCUGGCCACCCACGGUAGCCCUGCUCUGACAGUCGUUAUCACCCGGAGUCCGCAGUUCACGUUGGGACUCACUCUUGGCGCUGUGCAUGCUGUGGGUUUGGGCAAAUGGAAGAGGACACAGAUCACCGUGGUGCCAUCACAUGGGGCAGUUUCACUGUCCCCAUAUCUCCCAUUCACCCCUCUAUUCAUCCCACCCGCUGGCAACCACUGCUCUUUUCCUGCCUCCAGGGUUUGGCCUUUCCCAGCUUGUCCGACAGUUGGAAUCAUCGUCUGUGGCCUUUGCAGGCGGCUUCUUUCACUUAGUAACGUGCAUUGUCAUUUCUUCUGUGUCUUCAGAGUUUGGAAGCUCUUUUCCUCUUGGUAUUGAAUAGAGUCCCACUGUCUGGAUGCACCCCGCUGACCCACCCACUCACCGACUGCAGGGCGUCCCGGUUGCUGCCAGGUGAAAUAGGGGCGGGGACAAUCCAGGGACAUCUUUCCCAGCAUGCAUGAACCAGAAAUAACACCAGCGUGUCUGAGAAGAAACGGUGAAGAAAUCCACCCUGGCUGUCUGUCGGGCAGCCCCGGCGAGGAGUUGAGUCCCCUUACCGCUGCGAAUGAGCUGUCCUCCACCCCACGUCGGAGACCUCAGCGCCCGGGGCCCCGGCCUGUUAGCACCUGCAUGCCUUUGACGGCAACCCCUGGCAUAUGCCUGGGCCUCACAGCUAUUGGCGGAGCGCCUACUCUGUUCCAGGCACAGGGCACAGCAGCAACCUGGACCCCCCAGGGGUGGCUCCUCCUCCAUCCCGGCUUCCUGCUGGAACAUGAGCAGGCAAUUCACACAAGAAGCCUGUAAUCCCAGCACUUUGAGAGGUGGAAGCGGGAGGAUGGCUUGAGUCUUGGGAGUUCAAGGCUGCAGUGGGCUGUGAUUGCACCACUGCACUCCAUCCUGGGUGACGGAGCAAGACCCUGUCUCAAAAAAAAACAAAAAAAAAAAAAAGAAAGAAAAAGAAAAAAAAACAACAGAAUAUUAAAAUGAAUAUGUAAAUGCA